rnacentral:rRNA from 1 species
AUACGUAGGGGGCAAGCGUUGUUCGGAAUUACUGGGCGUAAAGGGCGCGUAGGCGGUUUGCCAAGUCAGGUGUGAAAUCCCGGAGCUUAACUUCGGAACUGCACUUCAUACUGCCGAGCUUGAGUCUCUGAGAGGCAAGGGGAAUUCCCGGUGUAGGGGUGAAAUCCGUAGAUAUUGGGAGGAACACCAAUUGCGAAGGCACCUUGCUGGUGGAAGACUGACGCUGAAACACGAAAGCUAGGGGAGCGAACAGGAUUAGAAACCCGUGUAGUCC